CCUACGGGAGGCAGCAGUGGGGAAUAUUGCACAAUGGGGGAAACCCUGAUGCAGCGACGCCGCGUGAGUGAAGAAGUAUCUCGGUAUGUAAAGCUCUAUCAGCAGGGAAGAAAAUGACGGUACCUGAGUAAGAAGCCCCGGCUAACUACGUGCCAGCAGCCGCGGUAAUACGGAGGGGGCAAGCGUUAUCCGGAUUUACUGGGUGUAAAGGGAGCGUAGACGGCAGUGCAAGUCUGGAGUGAAAUGCGGGGGCUCAACCCCCGGACUGCUCUGGAAACUGUGUGGCUGGAGUGCAGGAGAGGUAAGUGGAAGUCCUAGUGUAGCGGUGAAAUGCGUAGAUAUUAGGAGGAACACCAGUGGCGAAGGCGGCUUACUGGACUGUAACUGACGUUGAGGCUCGAAAGCGUGGGGAGCAAACAGGAUUAGAUACCCCUGUAGUC
rnacentral:rRNA from 1 species